CCCUUUGGUCUUUUGGAAAUGGAUUAAAAAAAAAAAGGAAGCCCAAUUGAAUUAAAAUGGAGGGACUAAAAUAUUCAUAUUCGUCGAUGAAAAAUUAAGCUAGGAAGAAAAAGAAAAAGGUGCGAUCGCAGAUAAGAGAGAGAAAGAGAGCCGUGUGAUUCUACAAAACUGUUUGAUUCGUAAGUUCAGGGAUUCUCGUGAAGAUUGAAAAUCUCGCCGGCGAAUCUUUCCUUUGAUAUCGCCGGGGAGUUGACCGGUGGUUUUGAUCGGAGAAAGCUGGAGAUUUUCUAUCGGAGGUGAACAGAAGUAAAAAAAUAUAAGGAUGGUGAAUUCAAUGGUGGAAAGAGCAACGAGCGAUAUGCUCAUAGGUCCUGAUUGGGCUAUGAAUCUCGAGAUCUGCGAUAUUUGCAAUCACGAUCCCGCGCAAGCCAAAGAUGUCGUGAAGGGAAUAAAAAGACGUCUUGGUAGUAAGAAUCCCAAAGUCCAACUUCUUGCUCUGACACUGUUGGAAACAAUUGUCAAGAAUUGUGGGGAUAUUGUCCAUAUGCAUGUUGCUGAGAAAGAUCUACUUCAUGAGAUGGUGAAAAUUGUAAAAAAGAAGCAACCUGACUUGCAUGUCAAGGAAAAAGUAUUAAUUUUGAUAGACACGUGGCAAGAAGCAUUUGGAGGACCAAGGGCAAGAUAUCCACAAUUUUAUGGCGCAUACCAGGAGUUGCUGCGCAUUGGAGCUGUAUUCCCUCAGAGAGCUGAGAAAUCAGCCCCCGUGUUCACACCCCCCCAAACACAUCCGCUGGCUUCAUACCCACAGAAUCUCCGGAAUCCUGAAUCCGGUCAGGAAGCGGCUGAGUCUUCUGCAGAGGCUGAAUAUCCAGCCUUGAGCUUGACAGAGAUCCAGAAUGCACGUGGUAUCAUGGAUGUCCUUGCUGAAAUGCUGAGUGCAUUAGAUCCUGAAAACAAAGAGGGGCUGAAACAAGAGGUGAUUGUUGAUUUGGUGGAACAAUGUCGUACCUACAAGCAAAGAGUAGUACACCUUGUAAACUCGACUACGGAUGAAUCACUGCUCUGCCAAGGGCUAGCGCUGAAUGAUGAGUUGCAGCGUGUAUUGGCCAAGCAUGAAGCUAUUGCUUCCGGAACUUCUGUUCAAGUGGAAAAACCAAAAUCUGAACCACCUCAACCUCUUGUAAAUGUUGAUGCUCCACUUAUUGAUACCGGAGACCGCAAACUGUCAGACCAAGGACCUACAUCAAAUGCUAGCCUAGGGACACAGUUGCUUCUUCUUGCUCCUCCAUCAGCUAGCAGUCCAUCAACAACAACAAAAGUUGACCCGAAAAUUGAUCUUCUAAGUGGAGAUGACUUCAGCUCACCUACAACUGAGAAUGUUCUGGCCCUUGUUCCUGUUGGUGGAGAACCGCAGCCUGCAAGUCCUGUUUCACAGCAGAAUGCCCUUGCUCUUGUUGACAUGUUUUCAUCACCCAGCAACUCACAAUCUCCAUAUUCAGCUGGGCAGACUCAUGCUUCGUCCCCUCAAAUUCAACAACAGAGCUUCACUUCUACCCAGCCAACUUUGUACCCAAAUGGAAGUGUGCCUGGAACAACAUAUACACAAGGCUCUAACACGGCCUGGAACGAACAGAUAUCACAGCAACAGCAGUCAGCUUCUCCAGUUUAUGGUGGUCAAAGCAGUUCUUUUCCACCACCUCCAUGGGAAGCUGAGGCAGCAGAGAACGGCCAAAUAGUGGGGAAUCCUCAUGCUCAACUGAUGCAAAAUAAUCAGUUGUUGCCAGGUAGUCCACAUGCUCUACCAAUGCACAACAAUCAGCUAAUGUCUGGUAGUCCAAAUGCUUUAUCAAUGCAAAAUAAUCAGCUGAUGGCAGCUAACAGCCAGCAAUUGGCUGGUGGUUCACAUGUCCAUGGUAUGUAUGCACAACCGAUCACUGGUGGACAGCCUGCCAUGAUGAACCAGGCUAUGCAAAACAAUCAGAUGGUAGGGUUGCUUCCUCAACCAAUCCAAGGUGGUCAAUCAAUGGGUAUGUUUCCACAACAAAUGCCACCUGGGCACAUGGCUUAUAUGUAUGCCCAACAACAAAUGUAUGGCAACCAAAUGGCUGGUUAUGGCUAUGGUUAUGCCCAACCACAUAACACACAAUUUCUUAAUCAGAGAAUGUCUGGGCUCUCCGUGAGGGAUGAUGGUGUCCUAAAUAAUUCAUCCUAUCCAGUUUCAACUCCUUCGUACAUACCAUCUGGAAAACCCUCAAAGCCGGAGGAUAAACUAUUUGGAGACCUUGUUGACAUUUCAAAGUUCAAAUCAUCCAAAACUACUCCUGGCAGAGCUGGGAGCAUGUGACAGUGACUGCUUGGUGCUGUUAUAACUGGUCAUGCAGUUAUUUGUGCUUUUACCUAGAAGUUUUUACAAGCGAUGUGAACUCCUACACUGGUAAGAGCUUUGUGGCUCACUAGGGAAAUAUUACACCAAUGCCUCACCUGAAGGAAUUGAAAUUGUAAGAUAAUUCAUUGUUUGCUGAGCUACAACGGGUAAAGUUAGGUUUUACAUUGUCUUCGCUGUUUUAUGUUUUGGUAUUUGUUUCUUUAUACUCGAUUCCUUUGCUUUGAAUGGAAGAUGAAGAUAUUAUACUGCAGUGUGUAAACUGGUUGGUUGACUCUUCAUCCUUCUGAAGUGAGAUAUCACCAGGACUGUAGUAUAACUCAUUUGUGGAAAAUAUGCCGGCAUGAUGUGGAGGAUGAAGAUGAUAGUGGUUUGGAGCUGCAAAGAUGUUCCCCGGAUUUUACCAUGCUGGCGGAUGUUUUCUUCUCCCAAUUGACUAUUCAUAGACGUUCUACUGGGGAAUUUGUGAGUAGACUCAGACUGCAAUUUCCCUGUGUCAUAUAUCUAAUUAAUCUCCUUAAAAUGAAAGAAAAAUACAAAGUAGGUCUUUAUACAUAUUUUUAUAUUAAUGUUGACAAUAUUACUUUUAUUUAUGGGGAAAAAUGAAUAGGAGUAAUCCGUUAUUGAAAAUUAAAAAGAAAACUGAAUACAUACAUGUAUAUAAACCGACUGUGUAGUCAAUUUAUGUACUAACAAAAGCAUUGAACAUUUCAUAUUAA